GUGAAUCAACGAAUUUUUGAACGCAAAUUGCACUCUCUUCGGAGAGUAUGCCUGUUUGAGGGUCAGACUCAAAAAAAUCGACAUAGUCGCUGUUUCGCGGUGACAUUCGUCGGAAAUUGGGUUAUCUUCAACCUUUGGGUCUUACGCGGCUUAAAAUUUUCUUUACGAUUCUAUGAACGUCUUUAAGAUUUACUUCUUACACGUUUACGGUAAUC
rnacentral:misc_RNA from 1 species